rnacentral:lncRNA from 1 species
UUUAUGCAAAGUUGAAGAUGAUGCAUUGCUACCGCCGUAGACUUGAGGGUUAGGUUGUGGUUGAGCUGGUAGCUUACCCUUCUCUUGAGCACUUAAAGCAGUGGUCAGUGUUGUCAGUUGAUUUCUUAUUUCAUCAUUGAUUUUUGCUUGACCUUGCAUGAAAGAUUGCAAAGUUUCUUCGAGGCUGGGUUUUUGAGGGGGUGUGUGUGCAUAAUGAGGUUGCGGAGGUGGAGGAGUUGGGUUAUAUACUUGUUGAG